GUUUCUGUAGUGUAGUGGUUAUCACGUUCGGCUAACACGCGAAAGGUCCCUGGUUCGAAACCAGGCAGAAACA
rfam:Pterocles gutturalis contig59781, whole genome shotgun sequence.